rnacentral:lncRNA from 10 species
GGAAAAACAACAUGAACUGUUCGUCUAUCUAUAUCGUCAUUAUUUUUUACCUCAUGGAUUGAAACAAAUUUUAAAGGAAAAAAGAAUGUUAAGAAAGAGCAGCACUUACUAUCAGGGAGGCACCUCACGAGCAUUGUAAACACUCAGGCUCGCUGCUUUCUGAAGGACAUGCCAAUCAUGCACAGCACUUACUAGAAACUGCAAGACUGCACAACAUGAUGGUAUUUAUUCCAGGAACAGGAGCCAGUCCUGGGCACACACAUAAAGGGACUUCCUUCACUCCCCAGAAGAAGAGAAAGCAUGCUGACACACAUCUGCCCAAGCAAUCAGAAGGCAGCUAAAGCCGCCACAGUCUUCACUCACCAACAGUUAGACCUUUUCAAUUGAUUUUAUUGAAGAAAGUGAGUGCUGAGCACCAUGAGUUCUCAUAAACAAUCCAUUUUGGCAAAUGCUUUAAGAAUGUUGGUUAAUUGCAGUUAGGCAGCAUCGACGUAUUUUAUUUUUUGGAAAGCAAGAAGCUGGCUUACCAACAUUAAGUUAAACAACAUGUAAGGGUUAGAAAUAUGAAUCAACAAACUAUUAGGGUGGUACCAUCUCUUUAUAAUAAAACAAUGUAGAUUGAUUAAGUAUAGCCUAAAAGUUUACCACAAAUCAUAACUACAUUUAAGCUUUGAAUUUCAUGACUAGUGAUUAAUUUUGCAUGUCAACUUGACUGAGCUUAUAGAAUGCCCAGGUAUCUGAUUAAACGUUAUUUCUGGAGGUGUCUGUGAGGGUGUUUCUGUAAGAGAUUAGCAUCUGAAGGCCAGGUGUGGUGGCUCAUGCCUGUAAUCCUAGUACUUUGGGAGGCCGAGGUGGGCAGAUUGCCUGAGCUCAGGAGUCUGAGACCAGCCUGGGCAACAUGGCAAAACACCGUCUGUACUAAAAAAUACAAAGUUUAGCCGGAUGUGGUGGCACACACCUGUAGUCCCAGCUACUAGGGAGGCUAAGGCAUGAGAAUUUCCUGAGCCUGCGAGGCGGAGGUUGUGGUAAGCCAAGAUUGUACUCCAGCCUGGGUGAUAAAGUGAGACCCUAUCUCAUAAAAAACAAAAAAACAAAAAAGAAAAAAGGAGAAGAAAGAGACACAGAUUAGCAUUUGAAUGGGUGGACUGAGUAAAGCAGAUGGCCCUCGUCAGUGUUGGUGGGAAUUGUCCUAUCCAUUGAGGGCUUAAAUGAAACAAAGACUGAGGAAGGCUGAAUUCAAUCUCUGCUGACUGCUGGGGCUGAGACAUCAAUCUUCUCCGGCUCUCAGUGCUCUUCCAGACUCAGACUGGAAUGUACACUAUCAGCUCUCCAGUUCUCAGGCCUUCAAAUUACACCUCUGGCUUUCCUGGGUCUCCAGCUUGCAGAUGGCAGAUCGUGGGACUUCAUGGGACUUCUCAGACUCCAUAACCAAGU